rnacentral:rRNA from 1 species
UACGAAGGGGGCUAGCGUUGUUCGGAAUCACUGGGCGUAAAGGGCGCGUAGGCGGCUUUAUAAGUCGGGGGUGAAAGCCUGUGGCUCAACCACAGAAUUGCCUUCGAUACUGUAGAGCUUGAGACCGGAAGAGGUAAGUGGAACUGCGAGUGUAGAGGUGAAAUCGUAGAUAUUCGCAAGAACACCAGUGGCGAAGGCGGACUUACUGGUCCGGUUCUGACGCUGAGGCGCGAAAGCGUGGGGAGCAAACAGGG